AGUUGCUGCUGAUGUUAGAAGGACUAGUGGAUGAACGGAGUCGGCUCAACGAGGCCCUGCAAGCUGAGCGGCAGCUCUACAGCAGCCUGGUCAAGUUCCAUGCCCAACCAGAGACGUAAGAGAGAGCUGCCUGGCUCGCUUACUUUCAACUUUCAUUCUUUCUCCUCCUUCUCUUUUUUAUUAAGUACCUACGUUUAAAGUACUAAAGGGAGAACGAAAGGACGCUACUACUUGUGAUUUGUGUUGAUUGGCCUGAGCCUUAGCGUCUACAUCCUAAAUUAGAAAUAGAUUUUCCCAUUACUACUGCAGAGAUUAGCCAAGAAGACAGGUCAGGGGUCUUGAAGAGUGCCUCACAUAGAGAGGAUGCUCCGUGGGUGCCUUCCCGUUUCUGUCCAUGUCCUGCUAAAGCCUGCUCUGCUGCAGCAGUGAGGCUGUCAGCGCACUAACACCAGCUUAAUGACUGAAGGGACUGUGUGUGCUGUGGUGACUCCACCCAGAGACACCGUAAGCGCCCUGAGAACCAUAUUUUCUGACACUUCUCCGUUUUGCCUUAUGCGUACUGUAUCUCUAUGGCUCCUUUCAGAGCGCCUUCAGGAUAUUUUCUAGCCUCCUUCCUGGCCUUGUUCAUUCCUUCAAUAGUUUUUAAAGUUUCUACUCAGUUUUCCCUAAUUUCUCAUUGGGCUUUAGAAAUGUUUUAUUUCCACCUCAGGAAAAUGAAAGCAGGGGGAGGGUGUCACUGAGCACCUGGAAUGCUGCUCGUCCUUGGAACUGGGCUCUCAGCAAUGUCUGUGAGCUACCGUCAACAGAACAGGCCCCAGCCCUCAGCUGACAUUUAAUUUUCCUUGGGUUUUUCAUUUUUCAGUCUAAAACUCUCAGUCACAUAAUGAAAUGUCUCUUAUUUUUGUGUGAAGGUGGCCCAGAAUCUAGAUAAA
rnacentral:lncRNA from 1 species